rnacentral:rRNA from 1 species
AUGCCAACACUAAACAUGUCAUUUGAAAGUGAUGCUGAUGCACACCGAUUCUACAAUGAAUACGCAACUAUUGUAGGGUUUUCUAUACAGAAAGCUGCAAACUAUCACUGCCAAAAGAAAUAUGCUCACAAUAACAAAGUGACAAGAUUUACUUUGAAGUGCAACAGGUCUGGUAAACCUAGAAACAGGACAAAGUCGACAGCAGCAGGAGCAAAAAGGAGAAAGUACAAAGGUGAUAAAAAUGCACCCACCAUCCUUGAGAAUACGACAGACAGGAGAAGGAAUUACACAAUCAAAACAGGGUGUCAAGCUCAAAUGGUUGUUACCUAG